GGUUUAAUAGUCAAUAAUGAUUUUGGAUUGCAAAUCUGAAGGUAAAUAAUUUUUUAAACUU
rnacentral:tRNA from 1 species